UGGGGAAUAUUGGACAAUGGGCGCAAGCCUGCUCCAGCCAUGCCGCGUGAGUGAUGAAGGCCCUAGGGUUGUAAAGCUCUUUCACCGGUGAAGAUAAUGACGGUAACCGGAGAAGAAGCCCCGGCUAACUUCGUGCCAGCAGCCGCGGUAAUACGAAGGGGGCUAGCGUUGUUCGGAUUUACUGGGCGUAAAGCGCACGUAGGCGGACUAUUAAGUCAGGGGUGAAAUCCCGGGGCUCAACCCCGGAACUGCCUUUGAUACUGGUAGUCUUGAGUUCGAGAGAGGUGAGUGGAAGUCCGAGUGUAGAGGUGAAAUUCGUAGAUAUUCGGAGGAACACCAGUGGCGAAGGCGGCUCACUGGCUCGAUACUGACGCUGAGGUGCGAAAGCGUGGGGAGCAAACAGG
rnacentral:rRNA from 1 species